GUUUUAACAAUCAAUGGCGGUAUGACUACAGUACUUUAGUACUGUUCGAGGUUAGGUGCAGUCAACAGACUUCUAUAGUCAUGAUAUGAUACGUUUCGCAUAUAUGGAAGAUGAUUCGUACUCAGCAGAGGAUGACUCUUUGGACAUUGCAUCAAAAUGUUGGCAACGCGUCAUAAAUACUGCUGCAAAGACUGGAUAUAGAGAAGGUAUACAAAAUGGAACAGACUCCGUACUGCAAGAGGGCUUUGAUAUAGGAUAUGAAGAUGGUUUUAAAAUUGCUUUUAUGUUGGGGAAAUAUAAAAGUCUGAGUCUUGCUUCAUCAUCUACUAUAGAACAUCCUGCGGAUGUAACUGUUACUCUUAAUAAAACUAAACGAGGCGUAUGUUGGAUAUGCAGCAUGGAGUCGCAAAAUAAAAGUUGCAAUUAUGAGAAUAUAUCAUUCUCUAAAGUACUGGACAAUCAAAGAAAAUACUCUACAGAUGUAAUAAACAGGCUACAUGAACACUUUCAAUCAGUCUUAAAGGAAUCAAGUAUUGAAACAAGUUUAAAUCUUUGAAAAUAGACAUUUUAGUCUCUUGGAAUAAAUAAUUGGAUCAUGGAACACAAUUUCUUUUUCAAAAUAAAAAGAUUCAAAUGGCUUAUUCUAAAGAUAACAUAUAUACGCAGGAUAUUUUAUGUUCAUGUGCAGAACAAUGUGUAACAAAAACAAAAUUUAUAUGAUACAGGAUAUUUAUAUCUCAAGAAAUAAAGUUCUUACUUUGAUAUCUGCA